GUUAAAAAUAGUCCCUUAAGUAUGCACUUAACAACUUGAUAAUGUCAGAAAAUAGUGUCUCGGAACACAAAGACCGACGGACUCUGUCGAUUAAAACCGAGCGUAUCCAUCGGCUAAGUAAAAUACACUAGACUUUAGAAAUAAAUUAGAAAUAUCAGAAACUAAAAAAGUUGUCACUACUAAAAACAAGCGAAAAAAACGAUGGACGGAAACCAAUGGAUAAAAUCGAGGGACACUAUUUUUUUUUUAAUUUUUAUUGUUUUU